AACAAAUUAACUCUCUCCACUGUCUGCUGUGUCGGUCAGACUGUCCCGCUCAUCUUUCUCCAGCACGAACAACAACAACAUGGCGCCACCUGCUGGACAGUUUCCAACCAAGGGCACUGACCAGACGGGAAUCAGCAUCAGCUGUCCUCCUGCCAGGAGGCCGCGCUGAUGGCCUGGCUCAGAGAAGUGAUGAGGGAGGUCAGACCGAUGAGGUAGCCGUCCUCUCUGCUCCCCUCGGCCCACGGGACGUCGUGUAGGAGCUCGCUCGUGUCAGGCACCGGGGUCGUCUUUCCAAAAUCUAUCAUCCACACACUGGCCUUGCUGCUGUGGUCGUGGACAAAGAGAAGCGAGCUGCCAAUCACCUGAUCAGGAAGAGAGACAGGAAAUGUAGGGGGGGAUGACAUGCAGCAAAGAGCCAUGGGUUGGAUGCAAAAUUUAACAAGAGAAGAUUUGUCUCUUUGUAAACCAACCUCAUGGGUUCUGAAAAAUAGUGAAUUCUUCAGUGCAUCACUCAGGGCCAGGAGUCUGGAGUGGUACGCUUUCUGAAAAAUCAGAUGGGUAGAGUUGUGGUUAAAAAGCAACAAAUAGUACACACGUCACAGGGUAAAAGAUUAAUGCAAUAAACUCAGAGUGGACAUCAAAUAAAGAAAUAACAGGAAGUCAGUAGCUAAGAUUAGGGAAGAAAUGUCAUGGUUUUGGGUUUGUGUCUAAUUGAUUUCUUGUUUUACUUUGAAAUACUCUCCUUCCCUCAUGUGUCUGGCAGUUUUGCUUCCUGUCGUUGAUUGAUUUGAUUGUUUUCACCAGUGUCAAUUAGUUUCUCCUGUGUCUCGUUGUCUCCCCUACAUGAGUGUAUUUAGUCUGUGUUCUCCCUUUAUGCUGUGUCAGAUCAUUAUUGUACUCUAUAUCAAGUGUCCUGGUAUUUGUUUCCUGCGUUUCUUGGGCUAUUUCUGUUUCUUUUGGACCUUGCUGGAUUUAGGAUUUUCUGCCUGCGUAUUUACUGAUUUGUUGCCUGUGUUUGGGACUGCCUUUUCUGAAUUGAUGAAAUGAAAUGAUCUCUGCCUGUCAAUCCAUGUAAGCCCUUGUGCAGCCAUUAAAUUCCUGAACUGCAUUUCUCUGCAUCUGUUGUCUGCAUUUUGGGUCCUACUCUGUUUCCUGGUUCCCCUGCUUGACAAACCACAACAAAAAAAGGACGAAAACUAGUAGAAUAUAAUUUUAAGUGCUUGUUUGGUUAGUUACUUAUUUAUUCUUCAUUAAAAAGCUUUUAAAGGCAAAACCUGUAUGCAGUGUAGGUUUGCGCACACAUAUAUAACUGUCUUUUAGAUAUGCAUUGAUUAUGUAUUGAAAGAUGAAUAGAUCCAAUCAUAUCUUCACUUCACCCACAGGGCAGCAAAUGGAGACUAUAACUGAACAAAUCACUUUUAAAAAAAAAAAAAUCCAAUUUCAGAUUUUGAGGCUGCUCAGUCUGUUUUCAUUAAACUGAUUAAUUUUUUUUCUAAAUUUUAUAUUUUU